AUGCUCACUGCUGCAGCACAUACACUAAAACUGGAACGAUACAGAAAAGAUUAGCAUGGCCCUUGUGCAAGGAUGACAUGCAAACUCAUAACACGUUCCAUAUUAAA
ensembl:snRNA U6 U6 spliceosomal RNA